GAGCUAGCAAAGAAGAGUUGUUUGAUUUGUUUCAGCCCCAUGACCGAGACGUUCAGGUGGCGUGACUGGCGUGCCUGUCUGCAAUCCCGCCUUUCAGUAAGGAGCUGUAAGGAAGAACCAUGCUGCUGGUGGUGCUGCGGACUCAGAUGUGGACUCGUUUGCCAUAAGGUGGUUCAACCUAGCCAGUGACCGGGGCGGUGGUAGGAAAGAACGGGAAAAAAACAGGCAGGAAGCACCACGAGAGGCUUCACACGACCUAGUUCCCAGAGUUUUGGGGCAGUAAGGACAAGAUCCACCCACCACCCAGUGCAUGCUAUUUGUGUAAUAAUUUGAGAGGGAAAGUGUGUGAUAAGUGAAAUUUAAUAAAAUAAGUAAAAUGUU